GAUGAACGCUGGCGGCGUGCUUAACACAUGCAAGUCGAACGGUGAACACGGAGCUUGCUCUGUGGGAUCAGUGGCGAACGGGUGAGUAACACGUGAGCAACCUGCCCCUGACUCUGGGAUAAGCGCUGGAAACGGCGUCUAAUACUGGAUAUGUGACGUGACAGCAUGGUCUGCGUUUGGAAAGAUUUUUCGGUUGGGGAUGGGCUCGCGGCCUAUCAGCUUGUUGGUGAGGUAAUGGCUCACCAAGGCGUCGACGGGUAGCCGGCCUGAGAGGGUGACCGGCCACACUGGGAUUGAGACACGGCCCAGACUCCUACGGGAGGCAGCAGUGGGGAAUAUUGCACAAUGGGCGAAAGCCUGAUGCAGCAACGCCGCGUGAGGGAUGACGGCCUUCGGGUUGUAAACCUUUUUUAGCAGGGAAGAAGCGAAAGUGACGGUACCUGCAGAAAAAGCGCCGGCUAACUACGUG
rnacentral:rRNA from 1 species